GUCACGAUGGAUGUAGAAGCAGCAAGCAUGCAUGUGGAUGAGCUAGCAUUGAGGUAGUAUAUAUCACAGCCUGAUGCUGGCUACCGUUGCAACCAUUUUUAUGUAACCAUCUCGUAAGUAUAGAUUUUUGGCAUCGACAAUUCAACAUGUAGCGUUGACGCUCUGUGCAUGCUCACACCCUUCGUCAGAGGCCGGGCUCUCAGCCCCAGGGUACGUACACUGCUAGUCUCAUUUGAGUAAUUGAGACUAUGAUGAACACUGACAAGGAGAGGGAGAGAGAGAAAAAUAAAAAGGCAAGCAACGGUGAUGAACUCGGCCAGGUCAUGCAUGGCAGUGAUAAAAAAAAGCAAGGACGUGGGAGGAAAAAAAAACUCGAUCGUCUCAGCUUACCAUGCAAUGCAACUGGCAGACUGAUUUGUGUAUCAAUGGGGAAAUUUUGCAGUGUCGGAAUCAAACACACAUUAUUGCUUUCUCUACGAUCGGUCAAAAAGGCCGUGGCCCCGUCAUGAUUCCACUGUGGCGCGUUUCCUGGACGAACCAACCCAUCUGGAGCA
rnacentral:lncRNA from 1 species